CCAACGGCCGCGGCUUCCCUGGGGCAGCCUGGCAGGUUAUUCCUCUGCAGUAUCUCUUCCCAGCUGUACCCCACUGUCCCCCGCCUCCGCUCCCCUACCGCGGCCUCUCGCGUUUUGUCUGAAGCUCUUUUGUGCGGGACCUGGCACUUCCGGUUUAUCCUCCAGCGUGUCAGCUCACUCUCCAUCGCGCCCUCAGACUCCCUCAAACCCCGCCCCGUACGGUUCAAUUAAAGUUGACUAGUGUUCUGAGCGCAAGAAGUACCCUGGCCAGGCUUUGUGAGGCCUAUGCGAGUAGGAUGUGAGAGAGUCUUUCUGACAAAAGAAAAUGAAGACCUCGAUCUGUGACCCAGUCUAUGCUGGUCGAGAAAUCUUAAAAGGAGAGUGGAAGAGCUGUUACUUGAGGUCCUCAGGAUGCCCCAGGCCCUCUCAUGAGUUUCUUUCCAGUUAUCUCUCAUAAGAGAAAGAAGAAAAGAGAAGAAGGUGGCUUAAGCCAGUGUUUUUCGAGUGGGUCACGGGUACGAGCCCUGGUCCGGGAAGAUCCCACAUGCCGUGGAGCAACUAAGCCCGUGCACCACAACUACUGAGUCUGCACUCUAG